UGGGGAAGUAUUGCACAAUGGGCGAAAGCCUGAUGCAGCAACGCCGCGUGAGGGAAGACGGUUUUCGGAUUGUAAACCUUUGUCCUCAGUGAAGAUAAUGACGGUAGCUGAGGAGGAAGCCACGACUAACUACGUGCCAGCAGCCGCGGUAAUACGUAGGUGGCAAGCGUUGUCCGGAAUUACUGGGUGUAAAGGGAGCGCAGGCGGGAGAGCAAGUCAGUGGUGAAAUGCAUGGGCUUAACCCAUGAACUGCCAUUGAAACUGUUUUUCUUGAGUGGAUCAGAGGCAAGCGGAAUUCCGAGUGUAGCGGUGAAAUGCGUAGAUAUUCGGAGGAACACCAGUGGCGAAGGCGGCUUGCUGGGGUCUAACUGACGCUGAGGCUCGAAAGUGUGGGGAGC
rnacentral:rRNA from 1 species